GAUGAACGCUGGCGGCGUGCUUAACACAUGCAAUUCGAACGAUGAAAGCGGGAGCUUGCUCCUGCUGGAUUAGUGGCGAACGGGUGAGUAACACGUGAGCAAUCUGCCCCGAACUCUGGGAUAAGCGUUGGAAACGACGUCUAAUACCGGAUACGACGCGCGAAGGCAUCUUCUGCGCGUGGAAAGAACUUCGGUUCGGGAUGAGCUCGGGGCCUAUCAGCUAGUUGGUGAGGUAACGGCCCACCAAGGCGACGACGGGUAGCCGGCCUGAGAGGGUGACCAGCCAAACUGGGAAUGAGACACGGCCCAGACUCCUACGGGAGGCAGCAGUGGGGAAUAUUGCACAAUGGGCGCAAGCCUGAUGCAGCAACGCCGCGUGAGGGACGACGGCCUUCGGGUUGUAAACCUCUUUUAGUAGGGAAGAAGCGAAAGUGACGGUACCUGCAGAAAAAGCACCGGCUAACUACGUGCCAGCAGCCGCCGUAACAC
rnacentral:rRNA from 1 species